AUUGAACGCUAGCGGGAUGCCUUACACAUGCAAGUCGAACGGCAGCAUAAGAGAGCUUGCUCUCUUGAUGGCGAGUGGCGAACGGGUGAGUAACGCGUACCGAACCUGCCUCAUACUCGGGAAUAGCCUUGCGAAAGGAAGAUUAAUACCGCAUAAUAUUGUAGUUUCGCAUGAGACAACAAUUAAAGAUUUAUCGCUAUAAGAUGGACCCGCGGCGCAUUAGCUAGUUGGUGGGGUAACGGCCUACCAAGGCGACGAUGCGUAGCCGACCUGAGAGGGUGAUCGGCCACAUUGGGACUGAGACACGGCCCAG
rnacentral:rRNA from 1 species